GAUGAACGCUGGCGGCAUGCUUAACACAUGCGAGUCGAACGGGAAGUGGUGUUUCCAGUGGCGAACGGGUGAGUAACGCGUAAGAACCUGCCCUUGGGAGGGGAACAACAACUGGAAACGGUUGCUAAUACCCCGUAGGCUGAGGAGCAAAAGGAGAAAUCCGCCCAAGGAGGGGCUCGCGUCUGAUUAGCUAGUUGGUGAGGUAAUAGCUUACCAAGGCGAUGAUCAGUAGCUGGUCCGAGAGGAUGAUCAGCCACACUGGGACUGAGACACGGCCCAGACUCCUACGGGGGGCAGCAGUGGGGAAUUUUCCGCAAUGGGCGAAAGCCUGACGGAGCAAUGCCGCGUGGAGGUGGAAGGCCUACGGGUCGUCAACUUCUUUUCUCGGAGAAGAAACAAUGACGGCAUCUGAGGAAUAAGCAUCGGCUAACUCUGUG
rnacentral:rRNA from 1 species